CUACGGGACGCACCAGUAGGGAAUAUUGCACAAUGGGCGAAAGCCUGAUGCAGCAACGCCGCGUGUGCGAUGAAGGCCUUCGGGUCGUAAAGCACUUUUUGAGAGGAUGAGAAAGGACAGUACUCUCAGAAUAAGUCUCGGCUAACUACGUGCCAGCAGCCGCGGUAACACGUAGGAGGCAAGCGUUAUCCGGAUUUACUGGGCGUAAAGCGCGUGCAGGUGGUUUGGUAAGUUGGAUGUGAAAUCUCCCGGCUCAACUGGGAGAGGUCGUUCAAAACUGCUAAACUAGAGGACGAUAGAGGAAAGUGGAAUUCCCGGUGUAGUGGUGAAAUGCGUAGAUAUCGGGAGGAACACCAGUGGCGAAAGCGACUUUUUGGCUCGUUCCUGACACUAAGACGCGAAAGCUAGGGUAGCAAACGGGAUUAGAUACCCGCGUAGUC
rnacentral:rRNA from 1 species